rnacentral:rRNA from 1 species
UACGUAGGGGGCAAGCGUUGUCCGGAUUUACUGGGCGUAAAGAGCGUGUAGGCGGCCCGGUAAGUCCGCUGUGAAAGUCGAGGGCUCAACCCUCGAAUGCCGGCGGAUACUGUCGGGCUAGAGUCCGGAAGAGGCGAGUGGAAUUCCUGGUGUAGCGGUGAAAUGCGCAGAUAUCAGGAGGAACACCUACGGCGAAGGCAGCUCGCUGGGACGGUACUGACGCUGAGACGCGAAAGCGUGGGGAGCAAACAGG